UCUGUACCUGAGACAAGCUUCAAAGGCAGAUCUAUGGACUUUGAGCAAUAUUUUGCCCGGGAAUGGAAAUCAGUUUCUAGUGCAGCAACUGGCUCGGAAAGUUUUAAUGGUUGCUUUGAUUGCAAUAUCUGCUUCGACUUUGCACGUGAGCCAGUGGUCACCCUUUGUGGGCACCUGUACUGCUGGCCCUGUAUCUAUAAAUGGCUCCAUGUCCAGAGUGCCUCUCUUGCUUCUGAUGAGCACCCACAAUGCCCAGUCUGCAAGGCUGAUAUAUCUCACACCACCAUGGUCCCCCUUUAUGGCCGUGGUCAAGCUGCAGUUGAAGCUGAGCUCGAGGGAAAAGCACCCUAUAGGGGCAUGGUCAUACCUCCUAGGCCGUCAGCUUAUGGUACGCAAGCUUUGGUAUCUAGUACAUCUCCAACUGGUCAGCAGCUUCCAUACCAUAAUCCUUAUCAAAAUCAUAGCUAUAAUCCUGAUCCAUACAGCAGUUUUGAAGAGGCAUCAUCAUCACCUCUAGUUAAUCUUGGAGGCACCAGAGUGACUGGAUUCCACCACCCAUUUGUUGGGAUGUUUGGUGAGAUGGUUUAUGCAAGGGUUUUUGGAAACUCAGAGAGCUUGUAUACAUAUCCAAAUUCAUAUCACCCAAUGGCAAGUAGUAGCCCCAGGUUAAGAAGGCAGGAAAUGCAGGCAUACAAAUCAUUGAACAGAAUCUCAAUUUUC
rnacentral:misc_RNA from 1 species